rnacentral:rRNA from 1 species
CCUACGGGAGGCAGCAGUGGGGAAUCUUCCGCAAUGGGCGAAAGCCUGACGGAGCAACGCCGCGUGCAGGAUGAAGGUCUUCGGAUUGUAAACUGCUUUUAUUACUGAAGAUUAUGACGGUAAGUAAUGAAUAAGGACAGGCUAACUCCGUGCCAGCAGCCGCGGUAAUACGGAGUGUCCAAGCGUUACCCGGAAUUACUGGGCGUAAAGAGUUGCGUAGGCGGUUAUUUAAGUGGAAUGUGAAAUCUUACGGCUUAACCGUAAGGCUAUAUUCCAAACUGGAUGACUUGAGGAUGGCAGAGGUAAGUGGAAUUGGCGGUGUAGGAGUGAAAUCCGUAGAUAUCGCCAGGAACACCAAUGGCGAAGGCAGCUUACUGGGCCAUUCCUGACGCUAAGGCACGAAAGCGUGGGGAGCGAACCGGAUUAGAUACCCUAGUAGU